GGAAGAUUGGCCAUAAGAGACUACAUUUUCCAGGGGUCCGCCCGGUGCCCUUUGUCUAAAUUGGUGCGUAAUCUUCAGUUGCGGGCAUUUUCUCCUGGGAUUCAGGACAGAAAGCACACUUCCAUGAACGAUGUAUCAUCGAAGAGAUAUGUGAAAAACACCUUGAGGAUUGGUUCUAAACAACGUUUGCCAUGUUACAGUCGAUAUUAUGGAGUUCAUUUGGAUAAAAGUUAGGCGUUUUUAUGACUGGAUUUUCGUUUUUUUUUGGUAGCCAAACGUGACGCACCAAACGGAGCGAUUUCUCCUAAACAAAUAACCUUUCAGGAAAAACUGAACAUUUGCUAUCUAACAGAGUCUCCUCAUUGAAAACAUCUGAAGUUCUUCAAAGCUAAGUCCUCUCCUGUUCCCUGAUUAAGAGGUGAUGACAACUCCACUACCAUUGUCAACUCUCUCCUGACAUGAACUGAAGCCACGUCUCAUGUGCUCGCUCAUCCACUGGCACUUUGCAUGUUUCCUCUCCAAGCACUCAGGGCCCUGGGUCUGUACUCCUCCAUGUGCAACUGGAUCCUAGACUUCCUGACGGGCCAACCCCAGGUGUUGAGGGUAGGCAACAACACCUCCGCCACGCUGAUCCUCAAUAUGGGGGACCCCCAGGAGUGUGUGCUCAGCCCCCUCCUCACCCAUGACACUGUGGCUAUGAACGACGCCAACUCAAUCAUCAAGUUUGCUGACAACGCAACAGUUAUUAUAUACCACAUUGUAUGUCUAUACACACCACAUAUUAAUAUUCUGGAUUCUGACACAUGAUCACUGUAGUAUAUCUACCCCUGGAUUGUUAAUUGGACUCAUUCUGUCAUUGCUUCAUUUCUUGUUUAGAUUUUGGUUUAUUUUUGUGUUUGUACUGUAUUUGUGAGAUGUUCUACUGUACUGUUAGAGCAAGUAACAUCAGCAUUUCGCUGAUCCUGCUAAAACACCUGCAAAUCUGUGUAUGCGACCAAUAAACAUCGAUUUGAUUUGAAA
ensembl:lncRNA